AGGUGGAGAUCGAUGGAGAUGAAUGGCGCAUUCUUGGAAUCUCGUGACAGCGUGGUGGAUCUGGUGUGGAUUUUGUGUUUCUGGGUUUUCUGCAUCUGGGGUUUUUUCGACUCGCAGGUGGUGAUGAAUGUGCUGCACGACGGAGAUUCUCGGUGGUGCUUUGCUGUUUGAGGGUUUCUAUCGCAGGUUGAAUGGAGGUGCUCUGGCGGUGCGGCGGCCUCUUGAGCAUUGAUGGAGAAGAUGAAGGCGCGAGAUGGUGGAGAAGUGAUGCCUCUCGUAGAUGAUGGAGGUGCUGCCAUGGUUGCACGACGGCUUGCUAGUGGCUUUGCUGGAGAAGAAAUCGCGAUUCUGGCGAGGGAAAUGAUUCGAAUCUACUAGGCUUGUGCGAUUCUAAGUUUGUUGAGUUGUGUAGGUGGUGGCCGUCGUUGAUGAAGGAUGGCGGCGUUGAGACUGAGGCAACGCUGGGUUUCUCGGUGUUGAUGGUGGCCAGCGAGACCGUGGCUGGUUGUGCAAUGUGGUGGCCGGCGUCUAGGUGGUCGCUGAAGUGGCUGCCAUGGAGGAGGCAGCGGCUAGGGUUAGGAAGAGGAAUUAGGGUUUCUGUUAAAGAUGUUAGAGAUGGUGAUGACGUGGCAAGAGGGGCUAGGUGGCAUGUUCUGAGUGGUUUAUUUGGUGAGUGCAGGGAUUAGUGAUGUGGCAUCAUCUAGAUGGUUGGAUCUAUUAUUUGUGGACUGCCAUGUGGCACCAUCUUAAGCAAUCUGACUUAGUUAGUGAUAGGAGGGGUAUGGGUAGGAAAAUUUAGGAGGUGUAGGAGAUAAGGGUUACUGUUGGGCUUCAGUAUUGGCCUGGUUUAGAAGAGAGGGGUGCAUGUAGCGAAAUCUGGGGGUGCAAGGGUAAAAACGGAAUGUUUGGCCCAUCUGUACAUUAUUUAUCAAAUAAAAUCUGAUUUUGGGCUUUAAAUUGCAAUUUUGACCAAUAAAACUCUAACUUCAGCUGCACAAAUAAAUAUUAGAGCAUCCAAGAAUAAUUUAUGUAAUUCAAAUCACUUUUUAAGCUCUUUUUAUUUCCAAACACG
rnacentral:lncRNA from 1 species